rnacentral:tRNA from 1 species
GAAGAUUUAGUUAAACUAAUAACAUUAGAAUGUCAAACUAAAUUUAUCAAUUAUUUGAUAAUCUUCU